ensembl:snoRNA
UAUAAAAGUAGUGGGCUGCACACUGGUGGAGUCAUAGGAUGAGAGGAUACAGGCAAUGUUCAGUACUGCCCUAAGGAAAAAGGUGCGGAGGGGCCACCCAGUCAUC